CGGAGGUGCAAGCGUUAAUCGGAAUUACUGGCGUAAGCGCACGCAGGCGGUCUGUCAAGUCGGAUGUGAAUCCCCGGGCUCAACCUGGGAACUGCAUUCGAACUGGCAGGCUAGAGUCUUGUAGAGGGGUAGAAUUCCAGGUGUAGCGGUGAAAUGCGUAGAGAUCUGGAGGAAUACCGGUGGCGAAGGCGGCCCCUGGACAAGACUGACGCUCAGGUGCGAAAGCGUGGGAGCAAACAGGAUU
rnacentral:rRNA from 1 species